CUAGUAACCAUAUUUGUUUCCUUGAAUGAUUUAGGUGGAGGAGUAGGAAUUUUGUUGAUUACAGCCUUUGAAGGAUCAACAUCAACCAUCAAUUCCUCCAUGUAAUCCUCUAAAUCGAUAUCACCAUGUAACCGAGCAUAGUUCCGCAUAGCCUCCCAGAAAUCAGCUGUGGGUUCAAACGGAAGAUCACGGAUAUAUUGCUCAGCCUCAACAAGAUGUCCACAUUUCCCAAGAACACCUAAAACACCCAAAUAAUGCUCUGUCUUCGGACUAAUCCCAUGCUCGUUCUUCAUCGAAUCAAAAUGCAAAAACGCUUCUUCUAUACCACCAACAGUAGCACAAGCCAAGAAGACCGUAAGGAAAGUCUCCUCGUUCGGCUUCAACCCAUGUUUCGUCAUCUCUUCGAACAAAUGCAACGCAUCAUCUCCCAUUCCGUUAUCACUUCUUAGAAUGCUCAAGCGACUUCAAAUUCGCACAAGACUCAAACAACAAAACGAAACAUUCUCUAUCAGGCAUAGCUCCUUUAUCAAGCAAUUCAAUAGCAUCUUUAUAUAGCCUACGCUGACAUAACCUCAUCACCUCUUCAACACUAGGAGGAGGAGCUACCUCAUUCAUCUGAUUAGGGCUUUGAUUCGAGCUUCGUGGUGGUUGCGGUUGUUGCUGCUGCUGCGGAGUGUAGUACUGACUCUGAUUACUUUGUUGAACAUUCUGAUUCUGAUAAUUGUUACCAGGUCCACCGUAUUGAGGCCUCUGACCACCGUACUGAGGCCUGUGACCACCGUGUUGAGGAUUGUGACCACCGUAUUGAGACAUUUGACCACCUUGUUGAGGAUUUUGACACCGUAUUGAGGUAUUUGACCACCGUGUUGAGUAGACCAUUGAUUAGGGCUUUGUGGAACUCGUUGAUUAGUGUUGGUCUGAUUCUGAGAAUCGAAGCUUUGAGGUGGAUAUGGGCGUUGAUGCUGAGACGGUGAUCCAGAUUGAGGAUUCUGGUGGUAAUCGUUUGCGGCGGCGGAUGUGCUUAGGUGUUUGAUCGGAAUUGAGUUUAGGGUACCGGAGAAGUGGAAUUGAGAGGAGAGUCUGGGAAAUGAAGAACGUAACUGAAGGAGAGAGCCGAUUGUGACGAUAUUCUGGGUUCGUGCGCAACGAAUGGCCAUUAGAGAAGACAUUUUCUCUGAGAGAAAUGGUGAACGAUUAAAACCCUGAUAGGAGAAACCAAAACCCUAGUGAGAGUCUGUGAAAAUAAGAUUGGGGAUGAGAAUAUUCCCAGGAAAUGAAA